rnacentral:rRNA from 1 species
UACGGAGGAGGCAAGCGUUAUCCGGAAUGAUUGGGCGUAAAGCGUCCGCAGGUGGCCAUGUAAGUCUGCUGUCAAAACCCAGGGCUUAACUCUGGUUAGGCAGUGGAAACUACAAAGCUAGAGUCUGGUAGGGGCCAAGGGAAUUCCCGGUGUAGCGGUGAAAUGCGUAGAGAUCGGGAAGAACAUCGGUGGCGAAAGCGCUUGGCUAGACCAGAACUGACACUCAGGGACGAAAGCUAGGGGAGCGAAUGGG